UGGGGAAUCUUGCACAAUGGGGGAAACCCUGAUGCAGCGACGCCGCGUGAGCGAUGAAGCCCUUCGGGGUGUAAAGCUCUUUCGACGGGAACGAUAAUGACGGUACCCGGAGAAGAAGCUGCGGCUAACUACGUGCCAGCAGCCGCGGUAAUA
rnacentral:rRNA from 1 species